AGUUGCUGACCUUUCGCAGCCAAACCAGGGACCCAAGGGCACAUUCUUCCUUCACUAACUCAGACCUGAGGGUCAAAGAUCGAGACAGGCUGAACCCAGGGAGUUGACCUGGGAACCCUGUUAGAAUCUGAGCCUGGCCAGAGAGGGAGACAGGCUCUGAAAGGCUGUUGGCAACAGGCUCAAAAGUGUGUCUAAGUAAAAGAUCGAGCGAGAUUCGUCAGGUAAGACCUCUGAGGAGCACUUGGGGCUUAAACUCUGGUGACAGUCCAUCCAUCACUGAAUCCAAAUACUCUGAGAGGAUGUCAUGCUUUACUCUACCAGAGACUGCUGAGUCUUGAACCCUGAUGCUUGCAGCAACAAGAACAGGAGCAAAGACAUCCCUCCUCUACCCUUUUGUUUGACUCGGGCCUUACUCCAAGGGACGCUUCCUCCUGCACU